CUCCCACUCGCGCCAGUAAUCCCGUGACCACGGUCGCUACAACACGGCAGAGACGUCGGGAAAUACAAAUUAAUAAGAAGCGACUGCAUGUCUGACCUCCCAACCCGCGAAGGGAAGACCAGCCCAAUACAGGUUAGGUCACAUACCUCCGAAAAUGCAUUUCUCGGGAACCUCACCAAUCUGACCGACGAGAGAAGACAAGACAUAACUAAUUAAGACAAAAGUGGCUGCGAAUUAUAUAGCUGAUGAUUUGAGUGUCUGCUCACCCUGAUACGUGCGUGACUGUGUAUAAAACAUGACCUCACUUGAUAAUAGUAAAGAGACUACUGUCGAAAAAAUGCGCAAUAGAAAUGCAAUGAAUAUUUUACCCAUUUUUAUGCCUUUCUAUACCUGCAAGCUUCAAGAACAUAAAACAUUUGUUCACAUUCAAGUAAAGAGACUACUGUCGAAAAAAUGCGCAAUAGAAAUGCAAUGAAUAUUUUUACUCGUU